rnacentral:lncRNA from 1 species
CUCUGGAUUGACUUCGAUUCCUCGAUUAGAGACCAUGAUGUUAGUUGUGUAUCCUAGAAGUCAAUUGUUCGUUGACAUAUUUUAUAAUUCUAAGACCUAAUUUUAUACUUGUAAAAUAUUUAUUAUUAAUAAAAGAUAUUUUUAUUUUCAAUCAUAUUUAUGUGUCUAUGAUUUAUCUUUGAAAUUAGUAAAGAUAAUUUUGUAUAUUCUCAAGGUAUUGGACAUUUGAGAUAUACAUUAUUAAUGGUUAGUUUCUAAAUACUUUCGAUC